rnacentral:rRNA from 1 species
UACAGAGGGGGCAAGCGUUGUUCGGAAUUACUGGGCGUAAAGGGCGCGUAGGCGGCCUGCUAAGUCGAACGUGAAAUCCCCGGGCUCAACCCGGGAACUGCGUCCGAUACUGGUGGGCUUGAAUCCGGGAGAGGGAUGUGGAAUUCCAGGUGUAGCGGUGAAAUGCGUAGAUAUCUGGAGGAACACCGGUGGCGAAGGCGGCAUCCUGGACCGACACUGACGCUGAGGCGCGAAAGCUAGGGUAGCAAACGGG